rfam:Triticum urartu cultivar G1812 contig560555, whole genome shotgun sequence.
UUAAUACUCCCUCUGUCCAGAAAUACUUUACCUAGAAAUGGAUGUAUCUAGACUUAUUUUAGUUAUAAAUACAUCCAAUUUAUCCAUUUUGAGAACAAAUAUUUCUGGACGGAGGGAGUACCUA